GGAGAGGAGAGGAGAGGAAGAAGUCAGGGAUUCUGUCACAGAGCAAAAAGCUAGAGGUCUUCUGACUAAAUUGUGAGCUCAGGAGAGCAGAGCUGUUGUCUGUGCUGUACAGAUAAGAAGGGAAUCAGUUGAUAAGGGUUUCUUGUGACGUCAUUCCAGCAUAUACUGCCAAUCCCUCUUCCUGCCUCAGUAGUUAGAAAAAGUUUACAGAGAAACUUUUUGUCUUUACUUUCAGUAGUUGAUAAGAGUGUCUUCAAACUGCCUUGUAUGUUACUAGGAGAAAGCAACUUCACAAUGUAAAAGGACCAUAUUCAUAUAUACAUGAAUACACAUUGAGCUCACUAGAUUCUCAGUUCUAGAGGUUGUAUAUUCAAUAACACAUGCAUGCAAAUAUGCAGUCUCCUCCAAAACAGACUUUUCUCAAAGCUCAAAUGCAUGGAGAGACAUUCCACUGUCCUGUGGCACCUGGUAGAAUGAAGGCUUGCAUAUCCAACUGAUAGUAUGGAAAAUAUAAGGACAAGCCGUUAGGAGGAUGACAGCAACGAC
rnacentral:lncRNA from 1 species